CGUUCCGUUCCGUUCCAUUCCAUUCCAUUCCAUUCCAUUCCAUUCCAUUCCAUUCCAUUCCAUUAAAUUCCAUUCCAUUCCAUUCCAUUCAUUUAAAUUCCAUUCCAUUCCAUUCCAUUCCAGUUCAUUCCAUUCCUUUCCAUUCCAUUCCAUUCCCUUCCAUUCCAUUCCAUUCCCUUCCAUUCCAUUCCAUUCAAUUCCAUUCCGUUGCAUUGGAAUCGGGUUGAUUCCAAUCCAUUCCAUUACAUUCCAGUCUUUUCCAUUCCAUUCCAUUC
rnacentral:lncRNA from 1 species